GAUGAACGCUGGCGGCGUGCCUAAUACAUGCAAGUCGAGCGGAAAGGCCUCUUCGGAUGUACUCGAGCGGCGGACGGCUGAGUAACGCGUAGGAACGUACCCCAAACUGAGGGAUAACUGCUCGAAAGAGUAGCUAAUACCGCAUGUGCUCUACGGAGUAAAGCUUCGGCGGCUUGGGAACGGCCUGCGUAAGAUUAGCUUGUUGGUAAGGUAAUGGCUUACCAAGGCGACGAUCUUUAGCUGGUCUGAGAGGAUGAUCAGCCAGACUGGGACUGAGACACGGCCCAGACUCCUACGGGAGGCAGCAGUAGGGAAUUUUCCACAAUGGGCGAAAGCCUGAUGGAGCAACGCCGCGUGCAGGAUGAAUGCCUUCGGGUUGUAAACUGCUUUUAUAAGUGAAGAAUAUGACGGUAACUUAUGAAUAAGGAUCGGCUAACUCCGUGCCAGCCGCCGCAGUAA
rnacentral:rRNA from 1 species